rnacentral:tRNA from 1 species
UGCAUCGGCCGGGAAUCGAACCCGGGCCGCCGCAUGGCAGGCGAGCAUUCCACCACCGAACCACCAAUGC